AGAUCAUGCCAGGAGGGGAGGCUUCCUCCUGGGAGGAAGCCUGUUGCAUUCCAGCCUGGGCAACAGAGCAAGACUCUGUCUCAAAACAAACAAACAAACACCACAAAGAAAUAGGUGGAAAUGAGGCUGUUGUGGGAGGCGGGACAGGGGUGGGGUCAGCUGUCCUGUCCUGGGUUGGCUGCUCUUCCUCUACCAGCAGCUGGGGUCCUGGGCCCUCUUAGGAAUCCUAGGGGCUGGAGAAGCUGCUCCACCAACCACAGGGCUGUGCUCCAGGGAGAUGAGACUGGCAAAGGAGGGGAGAGUAGGAAGCAGAUGGGGAGGCUGGCUCAGGGCCCCAUCCUGGGUGGGGGGGCUCCAGCACAAACACUGGGCCUAGAGCACUCAGCCCCCCUUGGCCACACUGCAUGUCGGUGGGUGCUUCCUCAGGGUGCAAGACAGAGGCUCAGGAUUGGUUCAGCAAACAUUUAUUGGGCACGCGCCUGGGCUGGGAACUGAGCUCACAGAUGGGGAGAGGAGCGAGACAUAAGCAGAAACCAGCACCGGGGCUCCGAGAGGGCAGUGCUCUGCGGCAGCACUGUGUGGGGGUGCCCAGGUGGGGACUUAGAAGCUUCAAUAAGGCCUUCUGGAGGCAGCAAAUGCUUGGACAGAGCUUGAAAGGGUUAGUAAGAGUGAGCCUGGCAAAUAAGCUAGGAAGAGUAUUGCAGCCCAAGGGAACAGCAUGGGCAAAGCAUAGAGGUGCCACAGGGCAGGCAGGGCAGGGGCAGGACUGAAGCUGUUCAGGCUCAUUCACGGGGAAUGAGACAGAGGGAGGUGGGACCAUGAGUGCUGCACUGGGGUCGCAGGAUCUCUGCUGACUGCUGGACACCCCCGGCCCUCCCCUAUCCCUGCAGGUCCUGGUGGCUGGCAUUGAGGCGAACAUACCUGUGACCUAUGGAAUUGGCAGCCAGAGGGGAGACGAGAGCACUGGCUGUCAAUUCAUAGGUCAGAGCCCUGUGCACUCGGUCUCGGCAGCCCACCGACAGCCCUCCACUACCCGCCACCAUCUGGCCUGGGAGCGUCGCCACGGUAGUCCUGGCUGGUCUGCUGGCCAGCACCUGCCUCUCCUUCUUCGUGGGUACUGGCCCUCGCCCCAGAUAACAGCAGCCCCACUGGAACCAGUGGGCACUUCCACAUGGAGUUGCUGUUACAGGGGGCGGGAACCAAUUGG
rnacentral:lncRNA from 10 species